rnacentral:lncRNA from 10 species
UCAGCCUCCCGAGUAGCUGGGACUAUAGGCACCCGCCACCACGCCCGGCUAAUUUUUUGUAUUCACAGUACAGACGGGGUUUCACCGUGUUAGCCAGGAUGGUUUCGAUCUCCUGACCUCGUGAUCCGCCCGCCUCUGCCUCCCAAAGUGCUGGGAUUACAGGCGUGAGCCACCGCGCCCGGUGGAAAGGACACUUUUUUACAGUAUGAGCACUGAAACAAAAAGGCAAAGCAAGGUCUGUUCACCUUCAGCUGAGAACGUGAGGAUUGGUUCAGGAGUACAUGCGCAGGUUUGUCAUAUAAGCAAAUUAUGUGGCACAGAAGUUUGGUGUAUGGAUUAUUUCAUCACCCAGGCCGUUUCUCAGCGUUGGAUGUGCAAGCAGUUUUGAGAGAUGAAGUCAUGACUUCAAGACAAAAAAACAGGUUUGCUUAUUUUGCUACAAACCAAUAAGUUCUUCAGCCAUGCUGCAAAUCCACUGUGUAUCCAGUUCCCAUCUGCGGCCCGCACAUCAUCCCCAUGGGACUUGAGAGCAAGAGGAUCCCACGCAAAUCAUGUUGCUUGCUAUGCUGUAUAGAUGAAGGAGAGGCUGGUGUCU